GGGUUGUGAGGUUAAGCGACUAAGCGUACACGGUGGAUGCCCUGGCAGUCAGAGGCGAUGAAGGACGUGCUAAUCUGCGAUAAGCGUCGGUAAGGUGAUAUGAACCGUUAUAACCGGCGAUUUCCGAAUGGGGAAACCCAGUGUGUUUCGACACACUAUCAUUAACUGAAUCCAUAGGUUAAUGAGGCGAACCGGGGGAACUGAAACAUCUAAGUACCCCGAGGAAAAGAAAUCAACCGAGAUUCCCCCAGUAGCGGCGAGCGAACGGGGAGGAGCCCAGAGCCUGAAUCAGUGUGUGUGUUAGUGGAAGCGUCUGGAAAGGCGCGCGAUACAGGGUGACAGCCCCGUACACAAAAAUGCACAUGCUGUGAGCUCGAUGAGUAGGGCGGGACACGUGGUAUCCUGUCUGAAUAUGGGGGGACCAUCCUCCAAGGCUAAAUACUCCUGACUGACCGAUAGUGAACCAGUACCGUGAGGGAAAGGCGAAAAGAACCCCGGCGAGGGGAGUGAAAAAGAACCUGAAACCGUGUACGUACAAGCAGUGGGAGCACGCUUAGGCGUGUGACUGCGUACCUUUUGUAUAAUGGGUCAGCGACUUAUAUUCUGUAGCAAGGUUAACCGAAUAGGGGAGCCGAAGGGAAACCGAGUCUUAACUGGGCGUUAAGUUGCAGGGUAUAGACCCGAAACCCGGUGAUCUAGCCAUGGGCAGGUUGAAGGUUGGGUAACACUAACUGGAGGACCGAACCGACUAAUGUUGAAAAAUUAGCGGAUGACUUGUGGCUGGGGGUGAAAGGCCAAUCAAACCGGGAGAUAGCUGGUUCUCCCCGAAAGCUAUUUAGGUAGCGCCUCGUGAAUUCAUCUCCGGGGGUAGAGCACUGUUUCGGCAAGGGGGUCAUCCCGACUUACCAACCCGAUGCAAACUGCGAAUACCGGAGAAUGUUAUCACGGGAGACACACGGCGGGUGCUAACGUCCGUCGUGAAGAGGGAAACAACCCAGACCGCCAGCUAAGGUCCCAAAGUCAUGGUUAAGUGGGAAACGAUGUGGGAAGGCCCAGACAGCCAGGAUGUUGGCUUAGAAGCAGCCAUCAUUUAAAGAAAGCGUAAUAGCUCACUGGUCGAGUCGGCCUGCGCGGAAGAUGUAACGGGGCUAAACCAUGCACCGAAGCUGCGGCAGCGACGCUUAUGCGUUGUUGGGUAGGGGAGCGUUCUGUAAGCCUGUGAAGGUGUGCUGUGAGGCAUGCUGGAGGUAUCAGAAGUGCGAAUGCUGACAUAAGUAACGAUAAAGCGGGUGAAAAGCCCGCUCGCCGGAAGACCAAGGGUUCCUGUCCAACGUUAAUCGGGGCAGGGUGAGUCGACCCCUAAGGCGAGGCCGAAAGGCGUAGUCGAUGGGAAACAGGUUAAUAUUCCUGUACUUGGUGUUACUGCGAAGGGGGGACGGAGAAGGCUAUGUUGGCCGGGCGACGGUUGUCCCGGUUUAAGCGUGUAGGCUGGUUUUCCAGGCAAAUCCGGAAAAUCAAGGCUGAGGCGUGAUGACGAGGCACUACGGUGCUGAAGCAACAAAUGCCCUGCUUCCAGGAAAAGCCUCUAAGCAUCAGGUAACAUCAAAUCGUACCCCAAACCGACACAGGUGGUCAGGUAGAGAAUACCAAGGCGCUUGAGAGAACUCGGGUGAAGGAACUAGGCAAAAUGGUGCCGUAACUUCGGGAGAAGGCACGCUGAUAUGUAGGUGAAGUCCCUCGCGGAUGGAGCUGAAAUCAGUCGAAGAUACCAGCUGGCUGCAACUGUUUAUUAAAAACACAGCACUGUGCAAACACGAAAGUGGACGUAUACGGUGUGACGCCUGCCCGGUGCCGGAAGGUUAAUUGAUGGGGUCAGCGCAAGCGAAGCUCUUGAUCGAAGCCCCGGUAAACGGCGGCCGUAACUAUAACGGUCCUAAGGUAGCGAAAUUCCUUGUCGGGUAAGUUCCGACCUGCACGAAUGGCGUAAUGAUGGCCAGGCUGUCUCCACCCGAGACUCAGUGAAAUUGAACUCGCUGUGAAGAUGCAGUGUACCCGCGGCAAGACGGAAAGACCCCGUGAACCUUUACUAUAGCUUGACACUGAACAUUGAGCCUUGAUGUGUAGGAUAGGUGGGAGGCUUAGAAGUGUGGACGCCAGUCUGCAUGGAGCCGACCUUGAAAUACCACCCUUUAAUGUUUGAUGUUCUAACGUUGACCCGUAAUCCGGGUUGCGGACAGUGUCUGGUGGGUAGUUUGACUGGGGCGGUCUCCUCCUAAAGAGUAACGGAGGAGCACGAAGGUUGGCUAAUCCUGGUCGGACAUCAGGAGGUUAGUGCAAUGGCAUAAGCCAGCUUGACUGCGAGCGUGACGGCGCGAGCAGGUGCGAAAGCAGGUCAUAGUGAUCCGGUGGUUCUGAAUGGAAGGGCCAUCGCUCAACGGAUAAAAGGUACUCCGGGGAUAACAGGCUGAUACCGCCCAAGAGUUCAUAUCGACGGCGGUGUUUGGCACCUCGAUGUCGGCUCAUCACAUCCUGGGGCUGAAGUAGGUCCCAAGGGUAUGGCUGUUCGCCAUUUAAAGUGGUACGCGAGCUGGGUUUAGAACGUCGUGAGACAGUUCGGUCCCUAUCUGCCGUGGGCGCUGGAGAACUGAGGGGGGCUGCUCCUAGUACGAGAGGACCGGAGUGGACGCAUCACUGGUGUUCGGGUUGUCAUGCCAAUGGCACUGCCCGGUAGCUAAAUGCGGAAGAGAUAAGUGCUGAAAGCAUCUAAGCACGAAACUUGCC
rnacentral:rRNA from 1 species